rnacentral:rRNA from 1 species
GGUGAACGCUGGCGGUAGGCCUAACACAUGCAAGUCGAACGGCAGCACAGUAAGAGCUUGCUCUUACGGGUGGCGAGUGGCGGACGGGUGAGGAAUACAUCGGAAUCUACUUUUUCGUGGGGGAUAACGUAGGGAAACUUACGCUAAUACCGCAUACGACCUACGGGUGAAAGCAGGGGAUCUUCGGACCUUGCGCGAUUGAAUGAGCCGAUGUCGGAUUAGCUAGUUGGCGGGGUAAAGGCCCACCAAGGCGACGAUCCGUAGCUGGUCUGAGAGGAUGAUCAGCCACACUGGAACUGAGACACGGUCCAGACUCCUACGGGAGGCAGCAGUGGGGAAUAUUGGACAAUGGGCGCAGGCCUGAUCCAGCCAUACCGCGUGGGUGAAGAAGGCCUUCGGGUUGUAAAGCCCUUUUGUUGGGAAAGAAAAGCAGCAGGUUAAUACCCCGCUGUUCUGACGGUACCCAAAGAAUAAGCACCGGCUAACUUCGUG